rnacentral:lncRNA from 1 species
CUGUACUCAUCCUGGACAGCAGCUCAGCUGGGUCUUGGUUCAGGCCCUGAGAAGCCCACAGCAGAGUUCAACAGGGCUCUAAGCACAUCAGAUGGACCACACAAGCCAGCUGUGGAAAUCCAUUAUCUGACACCUCAGGGAACCACUCCGAUGUUGGCGGAAUCCAAAAUCACACUCUGCGGAGAAGCCAAUCCUGACAUACCUGCUUUGUCUCUCAGAUGCAUGAAUACGCA